GCUCCUUGCCUGGACCAGCCUUUAGACAGAUGUCCUGGUGCUGUUCCCUGCUCUCCUGGCUUGCUCUCAGCUGCAUUGUGCUCACUAAUCACAAAGGAUGUAGUUGUGAUACCAGAGUUUUGCAAAGGCAAGAUGGACUAACAAGAGAAGGAAUGAGAGCACCUUGCUAGCUUUUAUGCUACUGUAAUGAAUGGCAAGCUGGUUAAAACCGAGACCCUUCUCUAGAAACCCUGCUUAGCUGCCUUCCAGGAGUUAAGAAUAUAAACUGCAGUUGCUAUCCUGGGGAAAAAUGGACUGAGAAUUACAAAGUGGCCGAGGUUGGAGGGGACCUCUGAAGAUCAUCCAGUCCAACCCCUCUGCCGAGCAGGAUCACCUAGAGCCUGUUGUGCAGGAUGGUAGCCAGCGUUAACAAGAUGACCGGCCUGUUCUUGUGAAGCCGUAUUGGAUACUUGUUCCUAGCUGUGCCUUGGAUCUCACUAAAAACAAGGGUUCCUGCUGUUAAAGACAACUAAGCUAAAAAUUGCUACUGGAAGUGCCUGCAGCCACACAUUCUACUACGCUACGGAAACCGCCUGACUUCAGAAGGGCGGAGUGAAGAUGAUUCAGCUACAAGGAUGCAACACCUGUUGCUGACUCCAAAUGUCACCCAUGUGUAAGCAAAUCUCCAGGUGCUGAAUAUGACUGCCACUGAUCUCACAUUUCCAGGCUCGAAGGGAGCUGUCACCUCCUUUGGGGACUUACAGGGCACUUAAAGAUCAUCCCCCUUUCCUUGGGCUUAUCAGAAACCUCAUGGCACAAUCUCUGCGGUGUUCCCUCUCUAAGGGGAAGUCACCAAAGCUGCCUGCUCGUGCAGAGCUGCUGUUACUGCUGUCUGUGGGGGCAGAUGUUCUAUCAGAUCGUUUCCUCUGCUUAGCUCAAAGGCUUCUGGUAGCAGAGCAGUGAUGGGCUGUACCAUAAACCAGAGGCCUCUGCUUCCAGGAGGAUGCAGAAUUUAAUGAUUUAAUCCCUUUUAACGAGCAUCCUUCUGGGAAACUAAAGGCCAGAAGUACUGCUGGGAAGUUUUUCUCUUACCUUCUUCUGCGAGCUCCUUGUUUAUGAUAAGCUUCCCGUGGCGGAGGUAGUUCAGUAUUGGGCCAAAAUAGGUGGGGUCUCUAUCGAUGAGAUACGCGCCUGUCUCAUCCUGUAGAGUGUGCGCAGGAAGGAAGCAGGCAGAGUUAAAUGGUACUAGAAAAAAAUUCAUUUGAAAAUGACAAAUAGAACAGUUUUUCUAUGAGAACACCGACUCCUUUGCCUGUAAAGGUUGAAUUUGUGACCCCAGGCUUUAUCCAACAUUUUUUUCAGUACCUGAACCCAGCCACAACUGUUGCAGCUUGAUGGUGCUGGCAGAUGCCUCACAUGAAGUACUUCUAUGAACAGAGUUCAUAUAACCAAAGGGAAAAGCAGCGCUUAGCAGUUUUUCUUCACUGCAAUAAUAAAAACACAAACCUGGUGUUCAUGCUCUGUCUAAUCUUGUUUUCCAGACUAGUAUAUCUAGAAAA